GACGAAGGGGGCGAGCGUUAUCCGGAAUGACUGGGCGUAAAGAGUUCGUAGGUGGCUUUUCAUAGUUUUAGGUAAAAUCAAAGAGCUGAGCUUUUAUAAGCCUUUAAUACUAAUAAGCGUAGAGUUUGAUAGAGGAUAGCGGAAUUUCAUAUGUAGGGGUGAUAUCCGAAAAAAUGUGAAAGAACACCAGAAGCAGAGGCGGCUAUCUAGUUCAAUACUGACGCUGAGGAACGAAAGCAUGGGGAGCAAACAGG
rnacentral:rRNA from 1 species